rnacentral:siRNA from 1 species
AUAUUUUUGGGUGCAUUUGGCAC